rnacentral:rRNA from 2 species
AAAUUGAAGAGUUUGAUCAUGGCUCAGAUUGAACGCUGGCGGCAGGCCUAACACAUGCAAGUCGAACGGUAACAGGAAGCAGCUUGCUGCUUCGCUGACGAGUGGCGGACGGGUGAGUAAUGUCUGGGAAACUGCCUGAUGGAGGGGGAUAACUACUGGAAACGGUGGCUAAUACCGCAUAACGUCGCAAGACCAAAGAGGGGGACCUUCGGGCCUCUUGCCAUCAGAUGUGCCCAGAUGGGAUUAGCUUGUUGGUGAGGUAACGGCUCACCAAGGCGACGAUCCCUAGCUGGUCUGAGAGGAUGACCAGCCACACUGGAACUGAGACACGGUCCAGACUCCUACGGGAGGCAGCAGUGGGGAAUAUUGCACAAUGGGCGCAAGCCUGAUGCAGCCAUGCCGCGUGUAUGAAGAAGGCCUUCGGGUUGUAAAGUA